AGUGAACGCUGGCGGUAGGCCUAACACAUGCAAGUCGAACGGCAGCACAGGAGAGCUUGCUCUCUGGGUGGCGAGUGGCGGGCGGGUGAGGAAUACAUCGGAAUCUACUCUGUCGUGGGGGAUAACGUAGGGAAACUUACGCUAAUACCGCAUACGACCUACGGGUGAAAGCAGGGGACCUUCGGGCCUUGCGCGAUUGAAUGAGCCGAUGUCGGAUUAGCUAGUUGGCGGGGUAAAGGCCCACCAGGGCGACGAUCCGUAGCUGGUCUGAGGGGAUGAGCGGCCAGACUGGAACUGAGACACGGCCCAGACUCCUACGGGGGGAAGAUGUGGGGAAUAUGGGAAAGGGGGCGCAAGCCUGAUCGAGCCAUACCGGGGGGGUGAAGAAGGCCUUCGGGUUGUAAGGCCCUUUUGUUGGGAAAGAAAUCCAUCUGGUUAAUCCCCGGAGGGGAUGACGGUACCCAAAGAAUAAGCACCGGCAAAUUUCGUGCCAGCCCCCGCUGUAA
rnacentral:rRNA from 1 species